CCUACGGGAGGCAGCAGUGGGGAAUAUUGGACAAUGGGCGCAAGCCUGAUCCAGCCAUGCCGCGUGAGUGAUGAAGGCCUUAGGGUUGUAAAGCUCUUUCGCCGGUGAAGAUAAUGACGGUAACCGGAGAAGAAGCCCCGGCUAACUUCGUGCCAGCAGCCGCGGUAAUACGAAGGGGGCUAGCGUUGCUCGGAAUCACUGGGCGUAAAGCGCACGUAGGCGGAUCGUUAAGUCAGGGGUGAAAUCCUGGAGCUCAACUCCAGAACUGCCCUUGAUACUGGCGAUCUCGAGUUCGAGAGAGGUUGGUGGAACUCCGAGUGUAGAGGUGAAAUUCGUAGAUAUUCGGAAGAACACCAGUGGCGAAGGCGGCCAACUGGCUCGAUACUGACGCUGAGGUGCGAAAGCGUGGGGAGCAAACAGGAUUAGAUACCCUUGUAGUC
rnacentral:rRNA from 1 species